GGCAAGGGUGCAGAGUCUAUUCAAAAGGCUGCUUUAAGACGACUUCUUCAUUAUGCUGAGCUCAAGGACGGUGAAAAGGCUCAUUUGGUGAAGUUGCUUUUUACGUUCCAAGUUAUAGCUGAUGUUUUCCUGUUCAACUGCUGGUUCUACUCUUCACUUUGAACAGUUAAUGAAGCUCGGCCACAGGAUAUCAUCGUCAAAGAAACAACCUAUUUGGGGUGUAUGACCGGCUACAGCCUCUGGGUAUAUCACUUAGCCAUUCUGGCAUGUUGGAGACUAUGUCAGCCAUAUAAGGCAGCUUUAACACUGAGCUGAUAAAUUCCAUACAAGAGGGCAAGAAAUUUCGAAUAGUUGGAGACAAUAUUAACUUCAAUAUUGGAGUCACGAACGAGAGGAAAAGUACAG